CACGGCAUGAGAUUCACCAAACGAAACGGAAAACUUCCUCCCCGUACAAACAGCAGGGCAGAACGCAGGCGUGCGGAGAGGAUGGGGUUCAGAAGCCACCAAGCUCUGAUCUGAAAAUAACUGACGUUCGCCAGACACAGCUGUAACUUUCCAGGCUGCGGCUCCCACAUGCUUUGUGGAUCCCGCUGAAAACUCACAUUGACUUGGGGCUGGACCAGGGGACCUCUGCCAGGGAGCUGACAAAAGCUCCAAGGUCCUUGGCAGCGCCUUGGCAGAGCGGGGCUGCCGGUGUAAACACAGGGGACCUUCUCCAUAUUUUGAAAGAAUUCAUGGCAAGAAUUGUUGUCUGUGUUCCCCUCAGAGAAAUGCUAUUUCCAGCUUUCAUUUCUCCCCCUUCAAAGAGGACGCUAAACAGACAGAGACUGCGGAGCUGGACGCUCAGCAC